AUUGAACGCUGGCGGUAGGCCUAACACAUGCAAGUCGAACGGUAGCACAGAGAGCUUACUCUCGGGUGACGAGUGGCGGACGGGUGAGUAAUGUCUGGGAAACUGCCCGAUGGAGGGGGAUAACUACUGGAAACGGUAGCUAAUACCGCAUAACGUCGCAAGACCAAAGUGGGGGACCUUCGGGCCUCACACCAUCGGAUGUGCCCAGAUGGGAUUAGCUAGUAGGUGGGAUAAUGGCUCACCUAGGCGACGAUCCCUAGCUGGGCUGAGAGGAUGCACAGCCACACUGGAACUGAGACACCGUCCAGACUCCUACGGGAGGCAGCAGUGGGGAAUAUUGCACAAUGGGCGCAAGCCUGAUGCAGCCAUGCCGCGUGUAUGAAGAAGGCCUUCGGGGUGUAAAGUACUUUCAGCGGGGAGGAAGGCGGUGAAGUUAAUAGCUUCACCGAUUGACGUUACCCGCAGAAGAAGCACCGGCUAACUCCGUGCCAGCAGCCGCGGUAA
rnacentral:rRNA from 1 species